CCCUAAUAGAAAGGGGAAGAAACUGUAGAAAUCAGAAAUAAAAGGAACGAGGUACCUGAGAGUCCAAAGGAGAGUGAGAUCGGAGACGGAUUAGCUGCGAGCUCGACGACCUAUAUCGGAGAUGAGAUCGGAGACGAGACCAGCAGCUCGACGAAGAGAUUAGUUAC